rnacentral:rRNA from 1 species
UACGUAGGGUGCGAGCGUUGUCCGGAAUUAUUGGGCGUAAAGAGCUCGUAGGCGGUUCGGUAAGUCGAAUGUGAAAUCUCCACGCUCAACGUGGAGGGGUCAUUCGAAACUGCCGUGACUUGAGUACGGUAGGGGAGUGUGGAAUUCCCGGUGUAGCGGUGAAAUGCGCAGAGAUCGGGAGGAACACCCGUAGCGAAGGCGGCACUCUGGGCCGAGUACUGACGCUGAGGAGCGAAAGCG